AAAUAAAUUCACUGGCAUAAUUCAG
rnacentral:miRNA from 1 species